CUAUGCGAGAGAAGAGACUCUACAGAGAUCCUAUGUAAGCGAGAGAGCGGAGAGAGCUCAUUUAAUCUCUUAAGGGGUCCCCUACGAAAGUAGAGUUAAAGAUGUUUCUCUGUAGAGUCGGGUAAGAGCUCUGGGAAUAGCAUCUCAUAGAGUGUGAGUACCCGUAUGAGAGCGACACUCCACAGGUGUGAGACACUCUCUCAAAGAGUGGGUUUGUUGGGGAACACAGUCCAAAAGGGGGGGUAAAUUUCAUAUAAAGCUAAAUAUGGGCGAGAGCCAGAUAGCGCACAAGCCCCGAGAGGGAAAGAUGAAAAGAACUUUGAAAAGAGAGUUACACAGUGCGAGAAAGUCUCAAAAGGGAAGCGUUUCACCCCAGUGUUGUUUAGUUGAAACUCAACUCAAUAAUUUUUGAUUUUGAGUAGUAUUGUUUUUCUCAGCUUGGUGCUUUCUUCUCAAAAAUUAUAAAACGCUCUUCUCAGUUCACAAGUCCACCUCAAUUUUUUUUGUUGUAAAAGGGUAAGAGGAAGGUGGCUUGCGUUUCGGCGUAAGUGUUUAUCCCCUUUCCCCUCCGCUAUGGGAGAGAUUGAGCACCGCAGCGUAGUCUUUUGGGGGUUAGAUACACUUGUGCUAAGCUAUAGCCUUGUAUAGACAACUUGUUGACUAUGCUCAGUCAUGUAGCUUACUCGCUUGUGCUAUUACCUACGCUAGGAUUACAAGA
rnacentral:rRNA from 1 species